rnacentral:rRNA from 1 species
GAUGAACGCUGGCGGCGUGCCUAAUACAUGCAAGUCGAGCGAACGGACGAGAAGCUUGCUUCUCUGAUGUUAGCGGCGGACGGGUGAGUAACACGUGGAUAACCUACCUAUAAGACUGGGAUAACUUCGGGAAACCGUAGCUAAUACCGGAUAAUAUUUUGAACCGCAUGGUUCAAAAGUGAAAGACGGUCUUGCUGUCACUUAUAGAUGGAUCCGCGCUGCAUUAGCUAGUUGGUAAGGUAACGGCUUACCAAGGCAACGAUGCAUGCCGACCUGAGAGGGUGAUCGGCCACACUGGAACUGAGACACGGUCCAGACUCCUACGGGAGGCAGCAGUAGGGAAUCUUCCGCAAUGGGCGAAAGCCUGACGGAGCAACGCCGCGUGAGUGAUGAAGGUCUUCGGAUCGUAAAACUCUGUUAUUAGGGAAGAACAUAUGUGUAAGUAACUGUGCACAUCUUGACGGUACCUAAUCAGAAAGCCACGGCUAACUACGUG